UACGUAGGGUGCGAGCGUUAAUCGGAAUUACUGGGCGUAAAGCGUGCGCAGGCGGUUAUGUAAGGCAGUUGUGAAAUCCCCGGGCUCAACCUGGGAACUGCAUCUGUGACUGCAUAGCUAGAGUACGGUAGAGGGGGAUGGAAUUCCGCGUGUAGCAGUGAAAUGCGUAGAUAUGCGGAGGAACACCGAUGGCGAAGGCAAUCCCCUGGACCUGUACUGACGCUCAUGCACGAAAGCGUGGGGAGCAAACAGG
rnacentral:rRNA from 1 species